rnacentral:rRNA from 1 species
AGGACGAACGCUGGCGGCGUGCUUAACACAUGCAAGUCGAGCGGAAAGGCCCUUCGGGGUACUCGAGCGGCGAACGGGUGAGUAACACGUGAGUAAUCUGCCCCUAGCUCUGGGAUAGCUCCGGGAAACCGGGAUUAAUACCGGAUACGACCACCUUAGACAUCUUUUGUGGUGGAAAGAAUUUCGGCUAGGGAUGAGCUCGCGGCCUAUCAGCUUGUUGGUGGGGUAACGGCCUACAAGGCGACGACGGGUA